rnacentral:rRNA from 1 species
UACGGAGGAUGCAAGCGUUAUCCGGAAUGAUUGGGCGUAAAGGGUCCGCAGGCGGCCCUGUAAGUCUACUGUUAAAGCGAGAGGCUUAACCUCAUAAAAGCAGUGGAAACUACAGAGCUAGAGUGCGUUCGGGGUAGCAGGAAUUCCUGGUGUAGCGGUGAAAUGCGUAGAGAUCAGGAAGAACAACGGUGGCGAAAGCGUGCUACUAGGCCGUAACUGACACUGAGGGACGAAAGCUAGGGGAGCGAAUGGG